AGCGCGCCCCGCAACGUGAGCACAACUGCUUUACAAACUUGGCAUAUUUUACCAACUCCCCCUCCUUCUCUCCCUCUCCCCCAGGCAUAAAGGUUGAUAGGAACAAACAUAUAAUAAUAAAUGCAAAGCUUUCCUACCUCCCCGGUAGGGGCGGCGAGAAGAUGUAGCCAAUGUUCACUAUGCUAGCUUCCUGGAAAGAAUCCUUGGAAGUCUCCCGCCGCCUCCGCCUUCUGACCGCCCAGAUUUCAUCAAGCCUCAGGAAGGCUCCACAAGGUCCAGGGGAACUGAGCCAUUUUCUGGCUCGUCGAAGACAAAUCCACCGGGCGGGGGAGGGGGGCAACUCCUGGGAGGCCCCAAC
rnacentral:lncRNA from 1 species